rnacentral:rRNA from 1 species
CCUACGGGCGGCAGCAGUGGGGAAUUUUGGGCAAUGGACGAGAGUCUGAACCAGCGACGUAGCGUGAAUGAUGACUGCCCUAUGGGUUGUAAACUUCUUUUAUAAAGGAAUAAAACCAGGCAAGUGUGCCUGUAUGCAUGUACUGUAUGAGUAAGAAUCGGCUAACUCCGUUCCAGCAGCCGCGGUAAUACGGAGGGUCCGAGCGUUAUCCGGAUUUAUUGGGUUUAAAGGUAGCGUAGAUGGGUUGUUAAGUCAGUUGUGAAAGUUUGCGGCUCAACCGUAAAAUUGCAAGUGACACUGGCAGUCUUGAGUACAGAUGAGGUAGGCGGAAUUCGUGGUGUAGCGGUGAAAUGCUUAGAUAUCACGAAGAACCCCGAUUGCGAAGGCAGCUUACUAAACUGUGACUGACACUGAUGCUCGAAAGUGUGGGUAUCAAACAGGAUUAGAUACCCUGGUAGUC